GGAGCAGUUGGUAUCUCAGUGGUAGAGUGCAUGCUCUGUAUGUAUGAUGUCCUGGGUUCAAUCACCAGAUUCUCCC
rnacentral:tRNA from 1 species